GACAACGUAAUUGUCUGGUUGAAAUAUUAUAGAUAAUUUAGGCUACAAAACAACCUGAGGAUUGAAUAUAAACAUUGUUUGACAUGUUUCUAUUAACUUUACGGAUACCAUUUGGAUUUUUUUGUCUGAUUGUUUUGACUGAGUUUGAGCCUGUGGAUUACUGAAGAACACGCGCUAACAUGAUACAAAGAGACUUCAUCGAACAAAAGGAACAUUUAUUGAGUAAAUUAAUGUCUUUUGAUUGCCACCAUAUGAAGAUCAUCAAAGGUCAUGUUGGGGUGUUGGACACAGUGAAGAGGCAUAGAGGAUGCAGACAGUGUCUUUAAGCUGUCUCACUCAAACUGACUGCUGAAUACAACGUAAGCUAUUCCCACUGAUGCAAGUCCAGCAAAUAGUACAGAGAGAUCCUUGAUGAAAACCUGCUCCAGAGCAUUCAGGACCUUAGACUGGGGCGAAUGUUCACCUUCCAACAGGACAACGACCAUAAGCACACAGCCAAGACAACUCAGGAGUGGCUCUGAGUCUCAAGUCUCUGAAUGUCCUUGAGCGGCCCAGCCAGAGCCCAGACUUUAACCCGAUCGAACAUCUCUGGAGAGACCUGAAAAUACCUGUGCAGCGACGCUCCCCAUCCAACCAGACAGAGCAUGAGAGGUUCUGCAGAGAAGAAUGGGAGAAACUCCCCAAAUAGAGGUGUGCCAAGCUUGUAGAGUCAUACCCAAGAAGAUUCGAUGCUGUAAUCACAGCCAACAAAGUACUGAGUAAAGAGUCUGAAUACUUAAAUGUGAUAUUGCAUUUUUAAUUUUUUUUUUAUAAAUU
ensembl:lncRNA